rfam:Actinobacteria bacterium 13_2_20CM_2_66_6 13_2_20cm_2_scaffold_977, whole genome shotgun sequence.
GGGCCAGUAGCUCAGCGGUAGAGCAGGAGACUCUUAAUCUCUUGGUCCAGGGUUCGAAUCCCUGCUGGCUCA